AUUGAACGCUGGCGGCAGGCCUAACACAUGCAAGUCGAACGAGUGGCGGACGGGUGAGUAAUGUCUGGGAAACUGCCCGCUGGAGGGGGAUAACUACUGGAAACGGUAGCUAAUACCGCAUACCAUCGGAUGUGCACAGAUGGGAUUGGCUAGUGGGUGGGGUAAUGGCUCACCUAGGCGACGAUCCCUAGCUGGUCUGUGAGGAGGAACAGCCACACUGGAACGGAGCCACGGUCCAGACUCCUACGGGAGGCAGCAGGGGGGAAUAUUGCACAAUGGGCGCAAGCCUGAUGCAGCCAUGCCGCGUGUAUGAAGAAGUCCUUCGGGUUGGAAAGUACUUUCAGCGAGGAGGCGUUACUCGCAGAAGAAGCACCGGCUAACUCCGUGCCAGCCGCCGCGGUAAUAC
rnacentral:rRNA from 1 species